rnacentral:rRNA from 1 species
AGUGAACGCUGGCGGUAGGCUUAACACAUGCAAGUCGAACGGCAGCACAGUAAGAGCUUGCUCUUACGGGUGGCGAGUGGCGGACGGGAGAGGAAAAUAUCGGACCCUACUUUUUCGUGUGGGAUAACGUAGGGAAACUUACGCUAAUAUCGCAUAUGAUCUACGGGUGAAAGCAGUGGAUCUUUGGACCUUGUGCGAUUGAAUGAGCCGAUGUUGUACUGGUUAGUUGGCGGGGUAAAGGCCCACCCAGGCGCGGAUACGUAGCCGGUCUGAGAGGAUGGUCGGCCGCACUGGAACUGGGACGCGGACCUGACUCCUGCGGGAGGCAGCAGUGGGGAAUGUUAGGCAGUAGGCGCGAGCCUGGUCCAGCCGUACCACGUGUGUGGAGGAGACCUUCGGGUUGUGAUGCCCGUUUGUUGGUGAAAAAAAGCAGCAGGUUAAUACCCCGCUGUUCUGACGGUACCCAGUGAAUAAGCACCGGCUAACUUCGUG